GCGUUGGUAGUACAUCGGUUUAGCACAUGCUCCCGGAAAGAACAAAAUCUGGGUUUGAAUCCCGGCUGAGGCA